UACGUAGGGGGCAAGCGUUGUCCGGAUUUAUUGGGCGUAAAGAGCGUGUAGGCGGCUAUACAGGUCCGUUGUGAAAACUCGAGGCUCAACCUCGAGACGUCGGUGGAAACCGUAUGGCUAGAGUCCGGAAGAGGAGAGUGGAAUUCCCGGUGUAGCGGUGAAAUGCGCAGAUAUCGGGAGGAACACCGGUGGCGAAGGCGGUUCUCUGGGCCUUACCUGACGCUGAGGAGCGAAAGCGUGGGGAGCGAACAGG
rnacentral:rRNA from 1 species